rnacentral:rRNA from 1 species
UACGGAGGGGGCUAGCGUUGUUCGGAAUUACUGGGCGUAAAGCGUGCGCAGGCGGUUUGCUAAGUCCGAUGUGAAAUCCCCGGGCUCAACCUGGGAACUGCAUUGGUGACUGGCAGGCUAGAGUAUGGCAGAGGGGGGUAGAAUUCCACGUGUAGCAGUGAAAUGCGUAGAGAUGUGGAGGAAUACCGAUGGCGAAGGCAGCCCCCUGGGCAAAUACUGACGCUCAUGCACGAAAGCGUGGGGAGCAAACAGG